rnacentral:tRNA from 1 species
GCGGGUGUAGUUCAAUUGGUAGAAUGCCAGAUUUCCACUCUGGAGGUUUUUGCGAGUUCGAGCCUCGUCACUCGCUCCA